rnacentral:misc_RNA from 1 species
AAUUCUCAAAAGCCCUUCCUUUGGUGGAGAGGAUUUUGGACUUGGAGGUCAUUUGCUGGUUUCACCUUGAAGCGAGCUCCUCCCAAAUGGAUUAGUGGGGUCUGCUUUGCCGAUCCUUGACGUGAUAAUAUGUUUCUACGUCUCGGGUUUCUGCACUGUACCUCUGCUUCUAACCGUCUCAUUGACAACGAUGGUGUUCCGGUCACCGCCGAUUCAUCGGUGGGAGGCUCGACCCACAAAAACGA